rnacentral:rRNA from 1 species
GACGAACCGUGCGAACGUUAUUCGGAAUCACUGGGCUUAAAGGGCGCGUAGGCGGGCUCGCAGGUCAGGGGUGAAAGCCCACGGCUCAACCGUGGAAGUGCCUUUGAUACCGUGAGUCUCGAGGGAGGUAGGGGCGUGCGGAACUUCCGGUGGAGCGGUGAAAUGCGUAGAUAUCGGAAGGAACAUCGGUGGCGAAAGCGGCGCGCUGGACCUCUUCUGACGCUGAGGCGCGAAAGCCAGGGGAGCGAACAGG